AAUAAAAAUGUUAUAUUAAAACUUUAUUAGAAGAUAACCAAGUUAUAAUGAGUCAAUUUUUUUAAUCCUGUCUCAUAAAGAAUAAUGAACUAUCCAUUGAUGUAUAUAUUUUUGGAGUAUAUCACCAAAAUGUUUCUGGGCUGAAAUAUUUAGGUUGAGGAAUAAAAUGUAAUAGCAUGUUUAUAGAAUAAAUAAUAUAAAGAAUAUUCUGGCACAUCCAAAAGCCAGUCCAUCCAUUGAGAAUAUUUUAUUUUGCUACAUUUAUUUUCAAAGUAGCAUGCUGUAUGUUACAGUCCAGUGUUCUAUAAUUAGAGCCCUAGUCAAAAAGAUCAUGAAACAAUUUAAUACUCCACUUGUCUGAUGUUUUCAGUAUACAUUUUAAUCGCAUAUUUAUAAUCCAGGUUUAUUCAGUAUAUACCAAGGCAUUUUUGUUCUAAAAUUUUAUAAAUUUCGAAAGUCUAAGAAUAAUUGCAUUUUGCUUCAAAAAAGAUUUACAUUAGUGUUUUUCUUAGCUAAUAUAUUGUAGGCAAUUGUGCCCUUUACCAAAACGUACUGAUGUACUUCCACAGUGCAUUCAUUCAGUUCUUUAAAGAUAUAUAUUACUUACAUUUUCUCUCCAGAUAAAAUAAAGAAAAAACGGCGGUGGUAUGAGUUCAUUAGUACCAAAAAAACCUGCUCUGCUUAAAUUGUGAUAUAUUCCAUGAUAGCAAAAACAGCUUUAAUAACUAUAAAAGAUUUCAAUGUUUUAGCUUUUAAUUAUCAAGGUCCUUUUUAUUAGAAGUCAUGAUAUAAUAUGAUAUGGAGUCUAACCCCUCAUGCUUAGCCUCAUAUAGUUCUAAAACAACCAAAGAUAGUACAUAAAGGCAUACAAAAAAAAAAUUCAAAUAAUAUAAAAAAUAUUACCUAAAAAAAGCAUAUCUUUUUUCCCCCUUUGGUAUUUUGGAGAAAACAUCUAAAGGACAAUAAUUGUAAAGUAUAUACUAACAAUUUGUAAGAUGAUUUUUAAUACUUUCAAUGUGUUUCUUGCUAAUCAUAUUUAGGAUCUUUGUUUUUAACAUGUCUAAUGUGGCACCAAAGCAAAGAAACGUAUACAAUAUCCACUUACAUAUCUUUAGCUGUUGCUAAAGGAAACUUUCUAAAUCUUUAUUAGUAUCUGACCUAUUAUGCAAACUAUUUUUAAACAGGUACUAAUAGAUGUAAAUUUUUCCUCUCCUAUACAUACCCAAAUACCAACUAGUAAAGUCAACCUUAGGAUUAUUUUAUUCAGGCUAUAUCCAGCUGUUUGUGAGAAUAGCUUUCAAUAAAAUAACACAUUUCAUAUCCUAAUGUCUACGCCAAAGGAAAAAUGAAAACUCAGCUUACCAAAUACAUUUUUAAGCCUGUGUGCUAGCUAUAUGUCUAGCUUUAUAAAAUGACCUGUCUAAAACUCAAGCUCAGACUUACUUACCUUCACAUAUUGAAUAUUUAAAACAUCUACCUCUACAAACUUACAAAUGAUGAGUUUUAAUAACUUGGUUGAACUUGGCUAGUCCCCUUUCACAAUACACUAGAUGUUAAGCAAUAUAUUUUCACUAUUUUUCCUUUGUUUUUCUAUCUGAGAUCAGGUUGAUUUCCUAAUUUUUACACUUAGCUACUACACACAGUAACCCAUUUAUAUUGGUUUUUGUGCCCCGGUUUUUGACAGCUCCACUUUUAGAUGGUCUCCAUGGAUUAUGAAAAAAGGAAGAAGUGCUAUAUAUUCUCCUUAGGCUAGAAAACUCAGUUUAUGACAUCAGAUACAACCAAAAAUGUUUUAUUUAAAAUCUGUUAUGAAGCUUCUACGUUGUAGAAGCUGAUUUUUAUAUGGACAAUAUUUUAGUAAGAAAAAACUUUGAGGAUUAUUAACUAAUAGUUUUUUUUUUAACUAGAUCAGAUAAUAUAAUGAAUGGUAAAAAUAUUUCCUUUACGUUCAACAAAAAAUACUUCUUCCAGAUCUUAAAAUGGUGUGAAAACCCAGCCAUCACCUUUCAUGCUAUUAACUAUACACAUUUUCAAUAAUUCAUUUUAUUUUAGUACUUAAUGAUUUUCUUCUAUAAUACCAAAACAGGCUUCUUACACAUUGUGGCUUAAUUUAUUUAAUUACAUUCCUGUAAUGAGUUGUAAAAUGAAACCAAACUCAGGGCUAAAAAGUUUUACUUUUUAAAAAUGGAAGGAGUUUACAUAAAAUAAUUUUUAUAAAAAGUUAAAUGUAAAGCAUUAAUAUAAUAAUUUCAGUUUACCAAGAUUGCAGACUCUUUGCUUUAUGAAAGCCUUAUAAAUUCCUUACUAAGUGAUUUCUAAAAGUAAUCUUAAAAAUGCUAUAUAGGAUAUUUUUUAUAAUACAUCAGUCUAAUUCCAUCAGCAAGUCAAAAAUCUACCAUGCAAAAAAUACUGGAAAAGUAUCCAUCAUGUCUUGCUAACUAUGGGACUACAUAACUUGAAUUUAAACAGAAUUCUAAAGAAAUUAUUUAAAAUGUAAAAUAAAGAUGUCGAUGUUCUUGGCUUCCAAAUUAGCAAGGACUUUCAUACCUUUUGAUGCAUUUUAAAAAUACAGUUUAGAUGAGAGCCAAAACAUCUAUAUAUACAUAGGUUUCAUCCUGAACUUCUUCAAAGUGUAGCCCAUGUCCAACUUUAGCUACAUUUCAUUUUUAAAGUAAAAUAUGACAUAGUGUCCUUUAUGCAAUUCAUAAUAAAAACUCUAAUUUGUUGAAGUUAAAAUGUGACUUAAAUGUCAUAUAUAACAUAGAUAUAAUUUACCAGGAAUUAUCCAAUAUAUGGCAUUUUAGCUAACAGGGUAUUUGCUUUGGUAAAAACUGGAGUCAAGGGCAUUUAAUCUGGCUCCUGCAGGCUUGUUAGGAAAGAUGUCGUAAGAAUAUAGUAAUAAAUGUUCAGUAAAUUCACAGAACUUAAAUUGUAGUAAAUAGAUGGCUCUUUUAAUAAGUUCAUUUGUAUUAAAACUGUAUGUAUUAAAAGUUUCAGUAUUUGUGACCUCUAAUAAAAUUCUCUGGCUUUGUUACUACAAUAGCUAAUUCAAAUAAACUUGAAUAUUAAUGUUUUUAUGUUCAGUGACAAAUAUGUAUUUAAGGAAUUAAUUAGUAAAAUGUUGCUUUUAAAUACUCAGAUUCAUAGUUUUACUUAGAGAACUGCUGGAUUCAAAAAUUUGGAACACUGGGAGUUCCCGUCGUGGCACAGUGGUUAACGAAUCUGAUUAGGAACCAUGAGGCUGCAGGUUCGAUCUCUGCCCUUGCUCAGUGGGUUAAAGGAUCCAGCGUUGCCGUGAGCUGUGGUAUAGGUCGCAGACGCGGCUCGGAUCCCAUGUUGCUGUGGCGUAGGCCGGUGGCUACAGCUCCUAUUGGACCCCUAGCCUGGGAACCUCCAUAUGCUGCGGGAGAGGCUCAAGAAAAGGCAAAAAGACAAAAAAAAAAAAAAUUUGGAACACUGUUCUAAAAAUAACAAAAUAAUCUUAAGGAAAAAGAAAGAGCCUAUAGAGUUAUUAAAAUCUUUAACAAUUUACACCAGCACACAUAGCAGGCUUCAGAUAUAAAGGAAACCCAUUGAAAGCAAAAGAGAAAUACAUUUCAUGAUAAGGUAAGUAUUUUUUGUCAAUCAUCUGUUUCAUAAGCUAGCUAUCAAGAACUCAUUUCUUGUCUUGAAACACUCAUUGCUAUGUUUCAACCAAGGAUUCUUAUUUAGACUUACCCUCUUCAGAUCUCUGGACCUGACUUUACUACCUCCUCUUCCCCACAAUAUAAUGCCCAGUAUGCACUCAGGGACUGUCAUGGUGUUGGUGCUGAGGAUAAUGUGAGGCUCUGCCACUAAAACAAGUUUGAGUCUGGGGCUCUCAUUUUACAAGCUGUAAUAGCCAAGUUACUUAAUCACGCUGUGUCUCAAUUUCUUAUCAGUUAAACAGAGUUAGAAUAAUACUUCAUAAAGUUGAUGGAAAAGUAAAUGAGAGGGAGUUCCUGUCAUGGCGCAGUGGUUAACAAAUCUGACUAGGAACCAUGAGGUUGAGGUUCAAUCCCUGACCUUGCUCAGUGGGUGAACGAUCCGGGCGUUGCCGUGAGCUGUGGUGUAGGUUGCAGACAUGGCUUGCAUCCCGUGUUGCUGUGUUUCUGCUGUAGGCCAGCGGCUACAGCUCUGAUUAGACCCCUAGCCUGGGAACCUCCAUAUGCCGCAGGAGCGGCCCAAGAAAUGGCAAAAAGACAAAAAAAAAAAGUAAAUGAGAGGACACAAAUAAGGAACACUGAACUAGUGGUUCUCUCCCUUCACCUUCACUUAUUACUGAACCAACAACUAGAAAAUUUGGCAAAUUAUGGCGAUGGGAUCCUCCUCUUUUGAUAAUCCAGAGAAGACUUACUGAACAGGUAUAACUGCUGACAUUUCUAUUCAAAAAGCAUGUUGUUAUUUUCACAGAGGCAGGCAUGGAAAAAGACAAAAGUUUUAGAGUCACAAAAUCUUACCUGUUAAGUUUUUCAUUUUUUUUUUCUACACUUAGCAGUGAUGAUACACUUGGUAAUGAGCAUUAAAGACAGAAAAGCUAAUGUCUAGUAUGAGUUAUUAUAUCUUUCCCAUUGCCUGGUUUCUCUGAACCCACAAAUGGCAGUUUCAUUUCUUACCAAACUUGAACGUUUCUUGUCAUUUUCAAUUUUAAAUUUUUACAUUUUGAGGCUGUUGUUAGAUCAUACAAGGUCAUAAUUGUUACAACUUAGUACAUUAUUCCUUAAGUCUCACUUUACCUUUGGUAAUGGUUUUCCCCUCAAAAUAGGUUAUCUACUAACAUUAUGAUACCAGCUUUCUUUUGGUUAAUAUAUGCCUGGUGCUCCUUCAUGUGUUAUUUUCUAUUAUAUUUUAGUAUAUACCUUUUAACUAUACAUAGCUAACUUUCAAAAUUUAAGCUUGAAUAUUGCUUUCUUUUGACAAAAGUUCAUCCUAUAAUAUUUGGUUUUAUUAUGAUUACUGAUAUAUUUGUAUUUUUUUCUACCAUCUUAUUAUGAGUUUUCUUUUACCAUAUUUUUCAUUGACCUUCCUUUUUCCUCCCUGUCUUCUAUUGGAUUGAGUCUUCUUUAACAUUUCAUCUGCUUAGGAAGAAAUAUAUUGUUUGUAUUAUUUUAGUGGUUAAUGAAAUUAUGUAACAUGCUUUUUAAUUUCAUAUUUUUAAUAUUUACUAAAGCCUUUUAACCAAUAGACAUUUCUAAAUCGGUUCAAAGGAAGCCAAGUUACUGAUGCUUUCAUAUUUAAUGUGUUCCAAACUAAAUGUUAUUACCCUUUUUAAAAUAUUUUAAUCAGGAAAAAAAUGUGUAAUUAGUCACAUUGUUAUUGAAUGUACUGAAUUAAGAGAAUAAAACAAUUCCAAUCUGUUAACAGUCAAUCAUAAACUAGUUCCUAAAGGUUCAUCUUCAUGUUUAGUCCCACAGACCAGUGACUGUCAACUAAUGAGGGGCUGUAUGUACAAAGCAUGGCUUUAGCGUAGGGAGGUUAGUACCAUAUUUACUCAUGCCAUACACUAAGAAAAUUGGCAUCACCCAUUUCCACAGUUAUUCCUAGAGCUGACCCUCCAGCUUACACAUUGAGCCCUCCAUAGAUGUUUCAUCCAAAAUUCCUUAAUGACUUCAAAGCAGGGCUCAUCUCUCUUGGAGCUAGAAUUUUCUUCUUGCAGAUCAUACAUUUGGUUUCUUGAAACAACCUGACAUUUCAUACCAUUUUGUUCUUAAGUGAGGAGCUGUGGACUUUAAAAUCCAUAGUGACUAAACUAUCACAGACCAAAUGGCAGUAAAAUUCAGUUUGCAGCCAAGGGUGAAUUUCUAUUCCAUAGCCUCGCCUUACUUUAGCAAAGAUCCAAGUAAGGAUGACACUCUCAAUAGCUAUUCAAGAGAAGAGGCACAGUAGAGAGUGUAUUAUUUCUAGUUGUUAAGGCCAUAAGAAGAUACCCUUUCUUCAUCAUGGAAAUAAAAGUACAAACUGAUCAAUGUUAUAAAAGCUUAAGUAGAGUAUUUUCAAAAUGAUCACCUAUUCCAUUAGAUGGCUCCAUUUAAUUCUGUGGAUUUAGAGGUAGCUAAGGAUUACUUAAAAACUACAGGGCUGUCUAAAAACUAAGGAGGAGUCCAUCUCAUUUCUAAACUGGUUAGUCCCUUCCCCUCAACUCAAAGUAGUUCUUGAUAAUAGAAAAAAGCAGCUUAGGCUGGGCUUCUAUCAUCUGCCUCAAAAAAGAAUAAGACACUCUUCUUGAAAGGUUAAAAUCCCCACUAAUUAACCUUUUUUUUUUUUUUUUUUUUUAUUUUCCCACUGUACAGCAAGGGGGUCAGGUCAUCCUUAGAUGUAUACAUUGCAGUUACAGUUUUUUCCCCCACCCUUUCUUCUGUUGCGACAUGAGUAUCUAGACAUAGUUCUCAAUGCUAUUCAGCGGGAUCUCCUUGUAAAUCUAUUCUAGGUUGUGUCUGCCCACUAAUUAACCUUAAUUAACUUGGUUGUUACUGUUCUGGCCCUCCCAGCAAUACUAACCUCCAAAUUUAGCAUGUUAUUACUGAUAGAAGUUAACCAGUCCUAUCCAAAGCUCCUUCAAAAGGAAGGGGCUGGAGUUCCCGUUGUAGCGCAGUGGAAAUAAAUCCAACUAGGAACCAUAAGGUUGUGAGUUCGACCCCUGGCGUCACUCAGUGGGUUAAGGAUCUGGCGUUGCCAUGAGCUGUGGUGUAGGUUACAGACUCAGGCUUGGAUCUGGUGUUGCUGUGGCUCUGGCGUAGGCUGGUAGCAACAGCUCCAAUUAGACCUCUAGCCAGGGAACCUCCAUGUGCCGUGGGUGUGGCCCUAAAAGGACAAAA
rnacentral:lncRNA from 1 species